rnacentral:rRNA from 1 species
UGCAUCUGAUUAGUUAGUUGGUAGGGUAACGGCCUACCAAGACCGCGAUCAGUAGCUGUUCUAAGAGGAAGAUCAGCCACAUUGGGACUGAGAUACGGCCCAGACUCCUACGGGAGGCAGCAGUGAGGAAUUUUGCGCAAUGGGAGAGAUCCUGACGCAGCAACGCCGCGUGACCGAUUGAAGCUUUUAGGAGUGUAAAGGUCUGUCGUGAGGGAAGAAAAAGACCGAGAAUAAUAAGUUCGGUAAUUGACGGUACCUCACAAGCAAGCUCCGGCUAACUUCGUGCCAGCAGCCGCGGUAAUACGAGGGGAGCAAGCGUUGUCCGAAAUAACUGGGCGUAAAGGGUACGUAGGCUUUUUUGUAUGUUUCCGGUGAAAUUCACAGGCUCAACUUGUGACUUGCCGGAAAAACUGCAGAGAUUGAAUCCGGAAGGGGAAAGCGGAAUUCCUGGUGUAGCGGUGAAAUGCGUAGAUAUCAGGAGGAACACCAGUGGCGAAGGCGGCUUUCUGGUCCGGAAUUGACGCUGAGGUACUAAAGCGUGGGUAGCAAACAGGAUUAGAUACCCUGGUAGUCCACGCCCUAAACGAUGGAUACUUGAUGUCGGGAUGUUCGGUCGUCUCGGUGUCGUAGCUAACGUGUUAAGUAUCCCGCCUGGGGACUACGGUCGCAAGACCGAAACUCAAAGGAAUUGACGGGGGCCCGCACCAGCGGUGGAACAUGUGGUUUAAUUCGAUGCAACGCGAAGAACCUUACCUGGGCUUGACAUAUAUAUGAAGUAUGUAAGAAAUUAUGUAUUCUGUCUGCAUUUGCAGGUAGCAUAUAUACAGGUGAUGCAUGGCUGUCGUCAGCUCGUGUCGUGAGAUGUAGGGUUAAGUCCCUUAACGAGCGCAACCCUUGCUUUUAGUUGCCAUCAGGUAAUGCUGGGGACUCUAGAAGGACUGCCGAGGCUCACUCGGAGGAAGGUGGGGAUGACGUCAAGUCAGUAUGUCCCUUAUGUCCAGGGCUACACACGUGUUACAAUGGACGGUACAGAGUGCAGC